GUCUUCUCUGAUCUCUACUCUCCACGAAACUAACCAGCCAGCACCCGCACCGCACCAGCGCCGCCAGCCUGCCAUCUGCGCCGCCCCUCCGCCUGCCGGCUCUCCGUCGGCCAUCCGCCGGCCUGACCUGGAACCCCCGCCUGCUGCUUCUCCGAAUUAGCUAUCCCCGCGUGCGACGACUCCCUUCCACAUCCAGCUCGCCCAUCUCCUUCUCCUCCUACCCCCUGCUCCUCCCGAUUUGAUCCCCUAGACCCGGCGAGGCACAUGUCAUCUAGGAUCACCGACGCCCUCUGCCGGCCGGCCGCCGGUCGCCUACUUUUCUGAUUGAUUUCACGAGGUGUACUGCAAGAUACGGGGAUUGAGGCUUCAGAAUUAUAUCUUUCCUUAGCAGACAAUUUUGAGGCCGUGAACUGUUGAUACAAUUUGAUUUUUUCCACAUUUGUUGCCGUCCUGCUAAACUAGACUACUCUAGAUUCAUUUUGGAGUAGCUUUCCUGUUGCUUUUGCUAGUACAUGGGACGGACAUAUCAAUGGUUUCGUCAGUUUGUUGGAGCAUAUAUACGAUAUGUAGCUUGUUUAGCUGGUAGUUCAGCUAUUUGCUCCCUGGAAAUUGACACAAUGCUCUUUUUCCCCGCUAGAACUUGUGAUAUAGCCUAUUGUUGUCCUUACUGGUACUUUGUGAAAUUUAUUAUACAAUGUUAUAAAUGUAAUCACUGUUCAAUUGUUGUUUAUUAUUCUAAAUUACUAUAUUUUAGGCAAGUAUUUUUUAUUGCAUCGAGCCUUCGAGCCGGCUUGCGAGCUUCAUCGAGCGGGCUUGUCGAGCCUCGAGCCUUGAUCGGACGGUUUAGGCUUGGCUUGUCUACCCUUCGAGCCGAGUCGAGCCCGAGCCGAGCCUUGUCGAGCCCGAGCCAAGCCUCGAGCCUUGAGCUUUGUGUCCACCCCUAAGGGGUGGGGGAAGUUAAGUUGGACCCGAGUCACCAGAGGAGGUGGCACGGGGGACCGGAGUAGUAGGUCGUACAUAUCCGAUAAGCACAAGAUCCUUUUACUUGUGGGAAUGCGUUUUAAUACCUAAUCGACAUCUUGCAGUUUCAUGUUCCAUGUAGUAUACAAGUUAUUCAUUACAGCUUCAUUCAGUUCAUCAUUGCCGAAUCAUUUUUUUUAAUAAUGGGAGCUUUAUUACUUUAACAAGAAAUUACACCCGGCAUGUAGCAUAUCAUUGCUGAAUCAUAUCAUCUAUGUAGCAUGAAGUAUGGCUCAUACAAUCACUACCUAAUGCAUGUUUUUUCUAGCUAACUUUGCGUUAUAAUGAGAAAUGACAUGGCAAUAUAAAACAUUUGAUUUCUGUGUUUGAGCUGAGCUAUUAUUCAUAUCCCCAUUUAAUUAUCUUCCAGAAAUAAUAGAGCUUAUUUUAAACAUAGUAUAUUUCAUGAUGUUUUAAACAUGAUUUAUCCAGGUGAGUUAUUGCUGUUGCAUUUCUGGAUUCAGUAUAGUUUUGUUUCCCUAACCACUAAGAUUCGCCUCGAGUUAACUUCAUGUGGAGCUACAUCAUCUUGGUUGGUUAUUUUCUUGACAUCUUGUUUGGUGCUUAAAGUGUACUUAUGUUGGCAUUCCCCAUAUGAAGAAGAACAUCAUGAUAAAUAUUGGAAGUACUGAACAACAUCAAGGCUGGUAUCCGCAAGAUAGGCAGUCAGACAAAGCUGAGUUGGAACAUACAAUUUUCUCAACUAAUUUUUUCUUCCGGAAAAGCACUUCAUUAACUCCAUCAAGGUGAUUGCAGAGUGCGUUUUGGUGGAACUGGUUGUGCGAUAUGAUCUACGUUGCAAUAUCAUUUUUCUCAUUAUUGAAGAAGUUAAGUGUAUAAAAGUUCUCAAUUUUACUAAGUGAUGAUUCAGAGCUGAGAGCUGAUGGCAAGGAACUCCACCAUUGGAUAGAAUCUCAAUUGAUCAGUUCGCCUUCCUUCGCCUCUAUCCUCCCAUCAUGUGUCCGAAUAUUGAACUCCUCCACCCCAAUGAUUGGAAAAUGAUAUUGUGGGUGGAGAUAGGAUUGAGAGCGCCCAGGUGAUUCUCAUGAGUGAUUUACGUCGACCAACAUCGGCAGUGGACUAUUGGGGCAAAGAUCUUGUAAAUGCGGAGCUUUAAGGACGAUGUUCCUUUGUUUCCUAUUGUGUAAGGUGAUGAUCAUCCGUGGAGAUGUAACUUUUAGGAGGAAAUACAAUAUGUUUGUCUUGUACUCUAUAUAUGGGUUGGCUAUGAGCAAGAAUUGUUGCGUAUUAUGUGGUUGUUGCACAAUCUGGCAAAGAAGUUAUUCUACAAGAAAACACGCUGUUGCACAAUAUGGCAAAGAAGUUACUCUACAAGAAAUACAAUAUGUAUUGUGAAAUAUAAAAGUUGGAAUA